ACUAUAAGAAGAAAACAGAGUAGAAUCACCUAUCAUGUGAUCACUUGCAACCGAAUCUACUAUCCAAGCACGACUGAGAUUGACACUAAAAAGGGCAGAAGUACCUUUGGGGGCAACAGAGCCAGAAAGAGUGUUAGAUUCAAGAAUUUUGUACAGUCUGUCUAAUUGUUCCAUCGUGAAUGAAAGCUGAAUUGAAGAAGACUGAUG